rnacentral:rRNA from 1 species
UGGGGAAUAUUGGACAAUGGACCAAAAGUCUGAUCCAGCAAUUCUGUGUGCACGAUGACGUUUUUCGGAAUGUAAAGUGCUUUCAGUCGGGAAGAAGCAAGUGACGGUACCGACAGAAGAAGCGACGGCUAAAUACGUGCCAGCAGCCGCGGUAAUACGUAUGUCGCAAGCGUUAUCCGGAUUUAUUGGGCGUAAAGCGCGUCUAGGCGGCAAGGAAAGUCUGAUGUGAAAAUGCGGGGCUCAACUCCGUAUUGCGUUGGAAACUGCCUUACUAGAGUACUGGAGAGGUAGGCGGAACUACAAGUGUAGAGGUGAAAUUCGUAGAUAUUUGUAGGAAUGCCGAUGGGGAAGCCAGCCUACUGGACAGAUACUGACGCUAAAGCGCGAAAGCGUGGGUAGCAAACA